rnacentral:lncRNA from 1 species
AAAAAUAAGUGUGGUGUAAAAUAAUUUUGGGGAUUUUAUAAAAACAAUUAGAGUCAAAAAGGCCAAAGGAGCUAUUUAAAAUUAAUUUUGAAAGUUAAUGAAAAAAGGAAAACAAAAUAAUAAAACAAAUAAAAGAAAAACGCGCGCCAACAACUAGGAAUUUGAAACAAUGCAUUGUCAUAUUGCUAUUGGUUGGAAUCAAACUUUGGAACCAACACGUGCGAAGAAC